rnacentral:rRNA from 1 species
GAUAACUCCGGGAAACCGGAGCUAAUACCGGAUAGUUCCUUGAACCGCAUGGUUCAAGGAUGAAAGACGGUUUCGGCUGUCACUUACAGAUGGACCCGCGGCGCAUUAGCUAGUUGGUGAGGUAACGGCUCACCAAGGCGACGAUGCGUAGCCGACCUGAGAGGGUGAUCGGCCACACUGGGACUGAGACACGGCCCAGACUCCUACGGGAGGCAGCAGUAGGGAAUCUUCCGCAAUGGACGAAAGUCUGACGGAGCAACGCCGCGUGAGUGAUGAAGGUUUUCGGAUCGUAAAGCUCUGUUGUUAGGGAAGAACAAGUGCAAGAGUAACUGCUUGCACCUUGACGGUACCUAACCAGAAAGCCACGGCUAACUACGUGCCAGCAGCCGCGGUAAUACGUAGGUGGCAAGCGUUGUCCGGAAUUAUUGGGCGUAAAGGGCUCGCAGGCGGUUUCUUAAGUCUGAUGUGAAAGCCCCCGGCUCAACCGGGGAGGGUCAUUG